rnacentral:rRNA from 1 species
UACGAAGGGGGCUAGCGUUGUUCGGAAUUACUGGGCGUAAAGCGUGUGCAGGCGGGAGAACAAGUGGUGUAUGAAAUGGCUCGGCUCAACCGGGCGAGGUUAUGCCAGACUGUUCUUCUAGAGUGCGAGAGAGGGGCAUGGAAUUCCGGGUGUAGUGGUGAAAUGCGUAGAGAUCCGGAGGAACCCCAGAGGCGAAGGCGGUGCCCUGGCUCGCAACUGACGCUCAGACACGACAGCAUGGGGAGCGAACGGGGAUAGAU